GCCUCCCUAGCUCAGUGGUAGAGCGACGGUUUUGUAAACCGUUGACAUCAGUUCGAUUCUGGUGGGAGGCUCAA
rnacentral:tRNA from 3 species